AUUCUGAUUGUGCUGCUGCCUCGAGCUUGAGUCCACACAAGUCCACACAGGUCUUUUGAGCUUGUGGAGAGCAUCUACGCAGACAUUGAGAUUUUGGAUCCUCAGGCUCUCAACGACCAUAAUCCAUUGGUUGCAUACACAGUGGGAGGGAAGGUGCUGGUGACUCCAAAAGUGUGCCUGCUCCAUUGAAGUGACACAGAAUGGCUGGAAUACUGCUGCUGGUGAGAAUUUCCCCAAGAAUGUCCCGUAAAGUGGCACUUCCUGAGGUACCUGAAUCCGUUGAACUGUUGCAAAAUUUUCUUCAGGAAAAUCUCCAACUUCAAGGCAGCUUCACACUACAAUACGAGGACCCAGACUUUAAUAAUACUCUGUGUAAUUUGAUUGACAUCCAUGAUUUGCCACCUGAGCGUGCUAUCUUGCACAUUCUUUGGGAUGAGACACCUCCACUUGUUCAGCGAGAGUCUGAUUCUUAUGAGUCAGAGUCUUCCCUGGACACAGCCAGUUUAUCCAGCAGAGAGUCACUCCAGAGUCCCUCAGCUUUUAUCAAGAGCUAUCUGCGAAGUGUCUCAGAGUGGCCUUCACCUUUUCCCAUCCCCUCAUUCUCUUAUGAUGUAGAGUUGAGGUUGCGCAAAGGCAAUGAGGCAUACGAACUGAGCAAGAAGGGUAUAAGCUUAACUAGAGACAUGAAAAUGGACAUUUUAGACAAGAUUGCGCAGGCAGUUUUUGAAGUUAAAGCCUAUCCUGAUCAAGAACAGAUUGAGUCUGUUGCUUCUGCUCUUAUCGGUAAACACCCCUGCCUUCGAGAACCAGGCAGUGAAAUGGGGUAUGAUGGAUGGAAAAUGAGCAUAAAAUACAAACUUGGCAAUUACAGGUGCAAGCUACGUCAGGCGGGUUGUAUCGAGGUUACCAUAAACCAGAAAAAGAGGCGCUGUGAAGGUGAUGCAAGUCCUUCUCUGAAGAGAGCAAAGCGUGGGGAGAUUAACCAUGUCCCUGACCAUCCAGACAA